rnacentral:snRNA from 1 species
AUACUUACCUGGUGCCGGGGUCACCGUGAUCAGCUAGGCGGUGCCCCCAGGGAGAGGCGCGGGCAUUGCACUGCGCUCGUGCUGACCCCUGCCACUACCCCAAACUGGGGCAGAUGGGGCAUGCAAAUUUUGGUAGUGGGGGACUGCGUUCGCGCUAUCCCCCU